ACGGGAGGCAGCAGUGAGGAAUAUUGGUCAAUGGGCGGAAGCCUGAACCAGCCAAGUCGCGUGAAGGAUGAAGGUAUUAUGUAUUGUAAACUUCUUUAGUCGCAGAGAAAUAAGGAGGUCGAGACCUCUGAUGCUAGUAUGCGAAGAAUAAGGAUCGGCUAACUCCGUGCCAGCAGCCGCGGUAAUACGGAGGAUCCGAGCGUUAUCCGGAUUUAUUGGGUUUAAAGGGUGCGCAGGCGGCUUUUUAAGUCAGUGGUCAAAUCGUGGGGCUCAACCCCAUCCCGCCAUUGAUACUGGAGAGCUUGAUUGCGGUCGAGGUUGGCGGAAUUCGUCGUGUAGCGGUGAAAUGCAUAGAUAUGACGAAGAACACCGAUUGCGUAGGCAGCUGACCAGGCCGUAAAUGACGCUCAUGCACGAAAGUGCGGGGAUCGAACAGGAUUAGAUACCCUGGUA
rnacentral:rRNA from 1 species